rnacentral:sRNA from 1 species
AUGGACCAGUCGUACAUUUCGGAUCUGGGCGCCGUCCACAGCGGCCUCGCGAGUACUCGCGAUGUUUUGGUAGUC